UUCUCCUCCUUCGCCCCUGCUAUCUCCCCUUCAACCACAACUUGUGGCUUGGGAAAGGUGAGAUCCCUCUCCUAACUUUUUGAUUGAUUAAUUUAUCUCCCUGACCGCCUGCUCUGUCACAACCACCCUUCGCCGCCAUGAUUCUCUCUCCUCGAUCCCACCUCCUUGGCUUGAAUGUACUCUGAGAUGCUUGCUGCUCGCCGAAGACUCCCGGUCGCCGCCAACUCCCUCUACAAUAAGCUUCCUUGGUAACAACAACGACUCUCCUCCAACAGCACGCUUAGGGUUUCGGCAGCACGACGGCGAUAAGCUUCUUUGGAUGUUUUCUCAAGGAAUAAAGGGUGGUGCUGGAUGGCUGCUGAAAAAUCCGUCUUCCCUUGAAUUCGAGACCCUGGAUCUUCUGAUUAUGUCUGAUAUCGAGUAGUUAUUGUACCAAAACAGUGUGUCAAGUAUAAAUCCAUGUGGAUCUGUGAUGCAUUGUCUUCUUUUUCCUCAAUCACUAUUGGUCAUGUAUUCCACUUGUGAAUCUAGAAGAAGAAAUGUAUUCCACCCAUGGAAGAAUCAAGUGCAUGACUCUUUGGUUGUGUUACAAAAGCCAUCUUUCUACCAGCAUUUCUCAAUUAACAGAUAUUGUAUCUGUCAAUUGUAAUUGUUCUAGAUGACAGAAUAAAUAUGACUUCGUUAUGAUCAAUCCAAAGCACCAAAUGACAUUGUUCCGAUGAUGUAUCCAACUGAACCUGAAUCUAUGGCUUCAUAAUGGAGUGAGAUGGGUGCUAACCUAUAUAAAAAGAGUGCAGAUGGAGGACUGGUGGUGGAAGCUAGUGGUUUUCUUUUUGAACAGAAAUGCACUUAAAAAUGGGGCUUAUUCAGGGUGCUCGUACUCAGAGAUAGGAGUUUGCAGGUGCUUUUCAGUGAGAUGAUUUUACAUGUAAGUUCCAGGAUUUUGUUUACUGCCAAGCACCUGUAGUCUUGUCUUGCUCUACCAAAAAUUCCAUUUUGUUGUCAACAUCUAAACAAUUUUGCUCACCAUAUAUAAUUUGGUGGAAGGGAAAUGAACUGGCUAUGUAAUGCAUUGUUUAUUUUGCUAAAUUUGUUAAAAGUUGGCUAUU